rnacentral:rRNA from 1 species
UACGGGGGGGGCAAGCGUUGUUCGGAAUUACUGGGCGUAAAGGGCUCGUAGGUGGCCAACUAAGUCAGACGUGAAAUCCCCAGGCUCAACCUGGGAACUGCGUCUGAUACUGGAUGGCUUGAAUUCGGGAGAGGGAUGCAGAAUUCCAGGUGUAGCGGUGAAAUGCGUAGAUAUCUGGAGGAAUACCGGUGGCGAAGGCGGCAUCCUGGACCGACAUUGACGCUGAUGAGCGAAAGCUAGGGGAGCAAACGGG